rnacentral:tRNA from 1 species
GGUCCCGUCGUCUAGCGGUCUAGGACGCCGGCCUCUCAAGCCGGUAACGCCGGUUCGAAUCCGGUCGGGACUGCCA